GCUGCAGUCGAACGAAUCCCCGGGGGGUAACUCUCGGGGGGAAGUGGCGAAAGGGGCAGUAAGGCGUGGGUAACCUACCCCGAGGACCGGGAUAGCCACCCUAACGGGUGGGUAAUACCGGGCGCGGUGACCGGGGGGCAUCCUCUGGUCAUGGAAUGAAUUUCGCCUCGGGAGGGGCUCACGUGGUAUUAGCUUGUUGGCGGGGUAACGGCCCACCAAGGCUCAGAUGCCUAGCAGGUGUGAGAGCACGACCUGCGCCACUGGCACUGCGACACUGGCCAGACUCCUACGGGAGGCUGCAGUCGAGGAUCUUCGGCAAUGGGCGCAAGCCUGACCGAGCGACGCCGCGUGUGCGAUGAAGGCCUUCGGGUUGUAAAGCACUGUCGAGGGGGAGGAAGCCGCAAGGUUGACCUAUCCCUGGAGGAAGCACGGGCUAAGUUCGUGCCAGCAGCCGCGGUAAGACGAACCGUGCGAACGUUGUUCGGAUUCACUGGGCUUAAAGGGCGCGUAGGCGGCUAGCCAAGUCGGGGGUGAAAUCUUUCGGCCCAACCGGAAAAGUGCCCCCGAUACUGGCUGGCUCGAGGGAGGUAGGGGCGCGCGGAACUUCCGGUGGAGCGGUGAAAUGCGUAGAUAUCGGAAGGAACGCCGGCGGCGAAAGCGGCGCGCUGGACCUCUCCUGACGCUGAGGCGCGAAAGCCAGGGGAGCGAACGGGAUUAGAUACCCCGGUAGUCCUGGCCCUAAACGAUGGGUACUAGUAGUGACCAGCAUGGGUUCCCUGCCGAAGCAAAAGUGUUAAGUACCCCGCCUGGGGAGUAUGGUCGCAAGGCUG
rnacentral:rRNA from 1 species